rnacentral:rRNA from 1 species
GGAAAGGCCCUUCGGGGUACUCGAGUGGCGAACGGGUGAGUAACACGUGGGUGAUCUGCCCUGCACUUUGGGAUAAGCCUGGGAAACUGGGUCUAAUACCGAAUAGGACCGCGCUCUUCAUGGGGUGUGGUGGAAAGCUUUUGCGGUGUGGGAUGGGCCCGCGGCCUAUCAGCUUGUUGGUGGGGUAAUGGCCUACCAAGGCGACGACGGGUAGCCGGCCUGAGAGGGUGACCGGCCACACUGGGACUGAGAUACGGCCCAGACUCCUACGGGAGGCAGCAGUGGGGAAUAUUGCACAAUGGGCGCAAGCCUGAUGCAGCGACGCCGCGUGAGGGAUGACGGCCUUCGGGUUGUAAACCUCUUUCAAUAGGGACGAAGCGCAAGUGACGGUACCUAUAGAAGAAGGACCGGCCAACUACGUGCCAGCAGCCGCGGUAAUACGUAGGGUCCGAGCGUUGUCCGGAAUUACUGGGCGUAAAGAGCUCGUAGGUGGUUUGUCGCGUUGUUCGUGAAAACUCACAGCUUAACUGUGGGCGUGCGGGCGAUACGGGCAGACUAGAGUACUGCAGGGGAGACUGGAAUUCCUGGUGUAGCGGUGGAAUGCGCAGAUAUCAGGAGGAACACCGGUGGCGAAGGCGGGUCUCUGGGCAGUAACUGACGCUGAGGAGCGAAAGCGUGGGGAGCGAACAGGAUUAGAUACCCUGGUAGUCCACGCCGUAAACGGUGGGUACUAGGUGUGGGUUUCCUUCCUUGGGAUCCGUGCCGUAGCUAACGCAUUAAGUACCCCGCCUGGGGAGUACGGCCGCAAGGCUAAAACUCAAAGGAAUUGACGGGGGCCCGCACAAGCGGCGGAGCAUGUGGAUUAAUUCGAUGCAACGCGAAGAACCUUACCUGGGUUUGACAUGCACAGGACGCCAGUAGAGAUAUUGGUUCCCUUGUGGCCUGUGUGCAGGUGGUGCAUGGCUGUCGUCAGCUCGUGUCGUGAGAUGUUGGGUUAAGUCCCGCAACGAGCGCAACCCUUGUCUCAUGUUGCCAGCACGUUAUGGUGGGGACUCGUGAGAGACUGCCGGGGUCAACUCGGAGGAAGGUGGGGAUGACGUCAAGUCAUCAUGCCCCUUAUGUCCAGGGCUUCACACAUGCUACAAUGGCCGGUACAAAGGGCUGCGAUGCCGUGAGGUGGAGCGAAUCCUUUCAAAGCCGGUCUCAGUUCGGAUCGGGGUCUGCAACUCGACCCCGUGAAGUCGGAGUCGCUAGUAAUCGCAGAUCAGCAACGCUGCGGUGAAUACGUUCCCGGGCCUUGUACACACCGCCCGUCACGUCAUGAAAGUCGGUAACACCCGAAGCCGGUGGCCUAACCCUUG